AUAUAUGAAUAGAAUAAAAGAUAAAAUUAUAAAAAAAAUAAAGAAUAGGUAAAUAAAGGAGUGAUUAAAUAUUAAAAAUAAAUAAAUAGAAUAUAACAUUGAAAAGUUAAUAUAUGAAAAAAAUAUUAUAUUAUGGAAUUUAAAACUAAUAUAUAAAGAAUGAUAAUAAAGGUAAUAAAUAAAAACCAAUCAUAGCAAGAAAUUGUAAUAUAAAACUAAAUGAAUUGAAACAUCUAAGUAAUUUAGGUAAAUAAAUCAAAAGAGAUUAAUAAAAGUAUCGGUGAGAGAAAUUAUUAAAUAGCUAAAAAAGUAAUAUUAUGAAAUAUGAAUAAAGUAGUAUCAACUACUAAAGCUAAUAAAUAUAUAUUAAGUAAAAGUACUGUGAAGGAAAUAAAUGAAAUAGUAUAAUAAAGAGCAGUUAUAGUGUAUAACGUACCUCUUGUAUAAUGGGUCAGUGAGUAUUAUUAUUAAGCAUAAUAAAUAAUAUUAUAUAUAAAUAGUAAAAGUUUAAUAGUAAUGACCCGAAAGUAAACGAUCUAUAUAUUUACAAAUAUUUAAUAUAAUAUAAGAUACCUUCUAAGGAAGGAAAUAUAUAAAAAAAUAUUAAAUGAUUCAAUAGGUAUCUGUAGCAAUAGAUUCUAAAGAUAGAUGUAUAGUAGUGAAAGGCAAAUCUGGUUUACAAAUAGCUGGUUCUCUGUGAAAUAUAUUUUAGUAUAGUUUAUAAUGAAUAAUUAAUUGGUAUAGCACUUAAUAUAAGUUAGGGGAUUAAUAUCUUACUUUCUGUAUUUAAUCUCAAAAACAAUUAUAAAAUUAUUAUUAUUAUAAAAUCAGUCAUAUAGUGAUAAGAUUGUAUGACGAGAAGGAAACAACCUAGACUAUUAAUCAAAUGUCCCAAAUUAAAUUUUAAGUGAAUAUAAUUAUUUUUUAUUAUUAGACAGUUAGUCAGUUGGUUUGACAAUAAUCACCUGUUAAUAAACAUGUAACAAUAUACUAAUUUGAUAAUAUUAAAUAAAAUAAUAUACGGGUCUUAAAAAUUUAACAUAGAUAUAGUUUCUUUUAUAUAAAUAAAAUAAAAGAAAAGUAACAGAGUAUAUAUUAAUAUUAUAUAAUAAAUAUAUAUAAUUAAAUAUAAAGAAUAUGCUGACUUGAGUAACGAAAGAUAAUAUAGGAUUAUCCUCAUAAUAUAUAAGGUUUUACAAUAAAAGAACGGUCUCUAAAUUAAUUAAUGAAAAUUAAUAAUGAUGAGAGAUAGAACAUGAAAAGUAAAUAAACCGUACUGUAAACCGACACAGGUAUAUAAAAUAAAUAAUAAUGAGAAUAAAUUAAUUAAUCUAAAUGAACUCGGCAAAAGUUGAAAUAACAAUCUUGUGUGACUGUUUACCAAAAACAUAGUCUAUUGCAAAUUAAUAAUAAUUAGUAUAAUAGAUGACGUCUGCUCAGUGUUAGUUAUAAUAAUUUGCAUAAUGAAAGUUAUAAUAAUAAAAAACUAGUAAACAGCAGUCUUAUUUUGAGGAUUCUAAGGUAGCGAAAUUCAUUGUCAACUAAUUAUUGUCCUGCAUGAAUGAUAGCACAAUACAAGAACUGUAUCUAGAUUAAGUUUAGUGAAAUAGUAAUCGUAGUGAAGAUACUAUGUAUCUAUAGAUUGACAAAAAGACCCUAUGCAGCUUUACUAUAUAUAUAUAUUGUUAUAAUAUUAUAUAUUAUUAUCAGAAUAUUAAGUACUUAUUUAAUAAUCUUUGAGAUACUUAUAUUAAUUUAAUAUUAAACUAAUCAUUAGCUUGUUUUCCUCGACCUUCAAAGAAGGUCGAGAAUUUAUUAAGUAAUAAUGAGACAGUAUAUAUAAGUUAGUUUUAAUGGGGCGUUAAAAUCACAAAAUGUAACUGAUUUGUCUAAUAAUAAUUUUUAUUGAUUUAAAUAUUAUCUUAAUUAAUAAGAUAUUAUUAAAAUAAUAGAUAAUAAUACGUACAUAAAAUUUAUAAGGUAAAUAAAUAAAUGUAAGGAUAAUAACAUAAAUGUGCGAUAAUAAUAAUACAAACAAGUAUAAUUAAAACGUAAGUUAAGUAUAAUGAACAGGUACAUACAAGUGAUAUGGGUAUCGAUUACGGAUCAAAGUUACGCUAGGGAUAACAGGGUAAUACUAUUAGAGAGUUGAUAUCGUCAAUAGUGUUUGCCACCUCGAUGUCGUCUAGACUUAUCCUUUUAAUCGUAGUUGUUAGAAAGGGUUAGACUGUUCGUCUAUUAAAAAGUUACUUGAGAUGGGUUAAUUACGACGUGAGUCAGUAAUGAUUUUAUCAUCUAUAGAUUUAUUAUAUUAACUUAACUUUAAGUGUACGAAAGGAUUAUAAAGUUUCUAUCCAUGAUGUUUAUGAUUUUUUAUAUCAUAUAAGUUAAAUAGAAUGAAUUACAUAUUGAUAGCAUAUUAAAUAUUAAAUUCUAAGUUAUAUAUAUAUUAUUAUUAAAGAUAAUUAUAUAAUAGUAAUAUUAUUAUUAUAAAGAUAAUAUAAACUAAUUAAUUAUAAUCAUAAAUUAUAACAAUGUUAUAUUCCAUUUACUUCCUUUCUA
rnacentral:rRNA from 1 species